UACCAGCACCCCGAGUGGUCGGGACGAUUAUUGGGCCUAAAGCAAUCCGUAGCCGGUUUUACAAGUCCUCCGUUAAAUCCAGCUGCUUAACAGAUGGGCUGCGGAGGAUACUAUAAGACUAGGAGGCAGGAGAGGCAAGCGGUACUCAGUGGGUAGGGGUAAAAUCCGUUGAUCCAUUGAAGACCACCAGUGGCGAAGGCGGCUUGCCAGAAUGCGCUCGACGGUGAGGGAUGAAAGCUGGGGGGAGCAAACCGG
rnacentral:rRNA from 1 species